AACGAACGCUGGCGGCAGGCUUAACACAUGCAAGUCGAGCGGGCCCUUCGGGGUCAGCGGCGGACGGGUUAGUAACGCGUGGGAACGUGCCCUUUGCUUCGGAAUAGCCCUGGGAAACUGGGGGUAAUACCGGAUGUGCCCUGAGGGGGAAAGAUUUAUCGGCAAGGGAUCGGCCCGCGUCUGAUUAGGUAGUUGGUGAGGUAACGGCUCACCAAGCCGACGAUCGGUAGCUGGUUUGAGAGGAUGAUCAGCAACACUGGGACUGAGACACGGCCCAGACUCCUACGGGAGGCAGCAGUGGGGAAUCUUAGACAAUGGGGGCAACCCUGAUCUAGCCAUGCCGCGUGGGUGAUGAAGGCCUUAGGGUCGUAAAGCCCUUUCGCCGGGGAAGAUAAUGACGGUACCCGGUAAAGAAACCCCGGCUAACUCUGUGCCAGCCGCCGCGGUAAGAC
rnacentral:rRNA from 1 species